AACGCACCUUGCGCCCUUUGGUAUUCCGAAGGGCAUGCCUGUUUGAGUGUCAUUAAAUUAUCAACCUUGCUCGCUUUUACCGGUUUGAGUUAGGCUUGGAUGUGGGGGUUUUUGCUGGCUUCCUUCAGUGGAUGGUCUGCUCCCCUUAAAUGCAUUAGCGGGAUCUCUUGUGGACCGUCACUUGGUGUGAUAAUUAUCUAUGCCACGUUGACUUUGAAGCAAAACUUAUGGGAAUCCGCUCAUAACCGUCCACUCGUGGACAACUCUUGACAUUUUGACCUCAAAUCAGGUAGGACUACCCGCUGAACUUAA
rnacentral:misc_RNA from 1 species